GAGAAAGGGAAAAAGGGAAAAAUUAAUCCUACCCUCUUCACAUCAGUCUUCUUAACUUUUUUUUCUCUAAAAAAAAACCCUAGCCGUACUACGAUAGAGGCGAUCUCUUCACAUCAAACUCCGCUAGGAGGAAAAAAAAAAAAAUUACUUGCGCCACACUGGAGAUUCGAUUGAUCAUCGCUAUCCCCUUUUGAGUUUUCCAGAUUUACGCAGUUCUCUACCAGAUACGAUGGUUUAGUAUUUUGCAAGAAGAGAUGCCGAAUCAUAUUGAAAGGUUUAGCCAUACUGCGAUAGAGGCGAUCUCUUCACAUCAAACUCAGCUAGGAGAAAAAACAAAAAAAAAAAAACUUGCGCCACACUGGAGAUUCGAUUGGCCGACCAUCGCUAUCCCCUUUUGAGUUUUCCAGAUUCAUAUCGCAACGAAGUACAAAACUUUGAAGCAGAUAUCAAAGAAUGUGAGAUGCAGUUAACGUAACAAACAACCAUGAUCUGAUCAAUAUUGCUAUGAUCUUGGUUGACUAAUAGGGAACAUUAUAUGUUUAUAAUUCUUUCUUCGGCCUUAUAUGGUUAAACAUCAAGGGGAAAUUGAUCACAUCUUAUUGUAGAUGAGAGUUAAUGCUGGGAAUAUUACAAUUCUGUAUUGGCAAAAAGCUGUGAAUUUUGAUCAAACAAAUUUUUUUCAGACUCUACAGUAUGUUACUUCCCAGUCAGCAUGACGGUCUAAAUCUGAUAAGAACAUGUUGGUUUAUCUCUCUUCUAUGGAUUGCCCUUAACUUCUGUGUUGUUCUGGGCCAUAUAUAUGAACUGCUCAGUGGAAAAUCGAAAGGUUUCAAAUGAGAGGAUAAAAGAGUUUACAAAUAUUACAUCAGAAGCAGCUUGGGAAAUUAAAGACUGCAUUUCCAUAUAUAUCAACUGCUCAGUGGAAAAUCGAAUGAUUUUUGUAAUUUUGUUGAGAGGAUAAAGGACUUUACAAUAUUGACCUUAGAGACUCCAGAAAAAGAAGCAGAAGAAGAAGGAAGAUGAAAAACAAAAUCCAAAACUUAGAUGAGAAAGAAGUAAGCGAUCAGAGGUGCCAUCUCCGAUUCUCUCACACAUUGGCCACCGAUUCAUUAGACCAACUCAAUCUCAACCCUACUACUACUACAGACGAAAACCCUAAACAAACCCUAGACGAUGACACUACUACUGCUGUCACGCCCAUCAGAGCGCCUCGAAGAAGAAGAAAAGGAAGAACCAACCGAUGAGGCUUCCGAUCAGCCUUCUGUAACCACUGUCGAUUCCGAUGCGAAGUACGGCGAGGAUUCAAAGAGCACUAUAGCCGCUGCCUAUAGCAGGGGAUGUUGUUGAUGUGGAUCUGGCUUCCAAUCGUUUCACUCCGCACUCCAAGUACAAAUUUAGAAAAGUUACUGGAUUCUCUAAUAGGAGAAUUACUGUUGGGUUCUCUACAAUAAAAUGAAAGGUCAAAGCUGAUUGGUUGUGUUAUGUGAAAUCUACAACUGUAUAGGAACCUUGCUCUUUUAUAGUUUUAGAGUUAAGAUAAGGACAAGAGUCAUGUGCUUUUCCAUCUUGCAAGUUCCUAGAUGUAGAAUUCCCAUCUUAGCUACUGUUUGGAGGGAAAGCUUCCACAGUUUGAGUAGGACUGACAAAAAUAGUUUAGCUUUAGGCUACUUGGUUCUAAUAUCUAUGGGCUUGAGAGAGGUUACAAUAGAAAAUGGACACGAAGUCCUGUAUUUACAAAAAGUGAUACAUUUAGUGUAAAUAAGACAGAGAUUAGUCAAUUCCACAAUAAUGAAUAUUGUGAAUCAUAAGAUUCACUUCCUAUAGAUUAUUGAAAUAAAACAAAAAAUAUAUGUGGCUACCUUCAAAAGAAUAAUCUACGGUAUGAUUGUUUUUAUUGUGUA